UACGAAGGGGGCUAGCGUUGCUCGGAAUCACUGGGCGUAAAGGGUGCGUAGGCGGAUCUUUAAGUCAGGGGUGAAAUCCUGGAGCUCAACUCCAGAACUGCCUUUGAUACUGAAGAUCUUGAGUUCGGGAGAGGUGAGUGGAACUGCGAGUGUAGAGGUGAAAUUCGUAGAUAUUCGCAAGAACACCAGUGGCGAAGGCGGACUCACUGGCCCGAUACUGACGCUGAGGCACGAAAGCGUGGG
rnacentral:rRNA from 1 species